ACACGAAGAUGACAGAAAUUGGUCCGUGUUACUGAGUCGGAUUAAGACCCCGGCACACGAAGAGAAAACCAUUUUUAUAACUGAGUUA
rnacentral:snoRNA from 1 species